rnacentral:piRNA from 1 species
UCAUCACUGUCACCCCAGGGCCUGUGGU